GACGAACGCUGGCGGCGUGCUUAACACAUGCAAGUCGAACGAUGAAGCCGGAGCUUGCUCUGGUGAAUUAGUGGCGAACGGGUGAGUAACACGUGAGUAACCUGCCCUUGACUCUGGGAUAACUGCUAGAAAUGGUAGCUAAUACCGGAUACGACCCUCGGAGGCAUCUCCAGGGGGUGGAAAGAAUUUCGGUCAAGGAUGGACUCGCGGCCUAUCAGCUAGUUGGUGAGGUAAUGGCUCACCAAGGCGACGACGGGUAGCCGGCCUGAGAGGGUGAGCGGCCACACUGGGACUGAGACACGGCCCAGACGCCUACGGGAGGCAGCAGUGGGGAAUAUUGCACAAGGGGCGCAAGCCUGAUUCAGCAACGCCGCGUGAGGGAUGACGGCCUUCGGGUUGUAAACCUCUUUUAGUAGGGAAGAAGCGAAAGUGACGGUACCUGCAGAAAAAGCACCGGCUAACUACGUGCCAGCCGCCGCCGUAA
rnacentral:rRNA from 1 species